CCGGGACCGGUCGGGCGGGGUUCCGCGGGCUGGCACCCCGGGGAGGUUGCUGCUAAAAGUCGGCCCGCGCCGGGUCGCCCUCCAGGGUCCCGGCC
rnacentral:tRNA from 1 species